rnacentral:rRNA from 1 species
CCUACCAAGGCGACGAUCCGUAGCGGGUCUGAGAGGAUGAUCCGCCACACUGGGACUGAGACACGGCCCAGACUCCUACGGGAGGCAGCAGUGGGGAAUUUUGGACAAUGGGCGCAAGCCUGAUCCAGCCAUGCCGCGUGAGUGAAGAAGGGCCUUCGGGGUUGUAAAAGCUCUUUCGGCCGGGAAGAAAUCGCAUGGGUCAAUACCCUGUGUGGAUGACGGUACCGGAAUAAGAAGCACCGGCUAACUACGUGCCAGCAGCCGCGGUAAUACGUAGGGUGCGAGCGUUAAUCGGAAUUACUGGGCGUAAAGCGUGCGCAGGCGGUUUGGUAAGUCAGAUGUGAAAUCCCCGGGCUCAACCUGGGAACUGCAUUUGAGACUGCCAAGCUGGAGUUUGGCAGAGGGGGGUGGAAUUCCACGUGUAGCUAGUGAAAUGCGUAGAGAUGUGGAGGAACACCGAUGGCGAAGGCAGCCCCCUUGGGCCAAUACUGACGCUCAUGCACGAAAGCGUGGGGA